ACGCUCGACACCUACUGGAGGCAGCAGUGGGGAAUAUUGCACAAUGGGGGAAACCCUGAUGCAGCGACGCCGCGUGAGCGAAGAAGUAUUUCGGUAUGUAAAGCUCUAUCAGCAGGGAAGAAACUGACGGUACCUGACUAAGAAGCACCGGCUAAAUACGUGCCGGCAGCCGCGGUAAUCUGAGCGGGCUGGCAAGGC
rnacentral:rRNA from 1 species